rnacentral:sRNA from 1 species
GGGAUUUUUCUUCGACUUGAUCCUUAGAGGUGCAACAGAUUCAUGGAGAUGGUCCCUUCUCCUGGGGAUGGGGCAAGGAUCUGUGCUCCGUGGGGCCUGCUGCAGGGCUUUCUGACCCAUGCCUUCCUGUUGCUAGGGUAGGCCUUGGGCCUUAGGGAGGGGCAUCAUCAACCUCAGGAUCUCAGUCUUGCCUUCCUGCCCACCCCAGCCCCAAACAAGUGUGAACUGAACUGCAUUCCCAAGGGGGAGAACUUCUACUACAAGCACAGGGAGGCUGUGGUUGAUGGGACGCCCUGCGAGCCUGGCAAGAGGGACGUCUGUGUGGAUGGCAGCUGCCGGGUUGUCGGCUGUGAUCACGAGCUGGACUCGUCCAAGCAGGAGGACAAGUGUCUGCGGUGUGGGGGUGACGGCACGACCUGCUACCCUGUCACAGGCACCUUUGACGCUAAUG